rnacentral:rRNA from 1 species
GGAUGCGAUCAUACCAGCACUAAUACACCGGAUCCCAUCAGAACUCCGAAGUCAAGUGUGCUUGGGCGAGAGUAGUACUAGGAUGAGUGACCCCCUGGGAAGUCCUCGUGUUGCAUCCC